rnacentral:rRNA from 1 species
GUCGACGAUUACUCCUACGGGAGGCAGCAGUAAGGAAUAUUGGUCAAUGGACGAAAGUCUGAACCAGCCAUGCCGCGUGAGGGAUGAAUGCCCUCUGGGUUGUAAACUUCUUUUAUAUGGGACGAAAAAAAUGACGGUAGCCAAGGAGGAAGCCCCGGCUAACUACGUGCCAGCAGCCGCGGUAAUAAUCUCUAGA